rnacentral:rRNA from 1 species
UACGUAGGGCGCAAGCGUUGUCCGGAAUUAUUGGGCGUAAAGAGCUCGUAGGCGGCUUGUCACGUCGGAUGUGAAAGCCCGGGGCUUAACCCCGGGUCUGCAUUCGAUACGGGCAGGCUAGAGUGUGGUAGGGGAGAUCGGAAUUCCCGGUGUAGCGGUGAAAUGCGCAGAUAUCGGGAGGAACACCCGUAGCGAAGGCGGCACUCUGGGCCGGUACUGACGCUGAGGAGCGAAAGCGUGGGGAGCAAACAGG